rnacentral:rRNA from 1 species
UACGUAGGGUGCGAGCGUUAAUCGGAAUUACUGGGCGUAAAGCGUGCGCAGGCGGCUAUGCAAGACAGAUGUGAAAUCCCCGGGCUCAACCUGGGAACUGCAUUUGUGACUGCAUGGCUAGAGUCCGGAAGAGGAGAGUGGAAUUCCUGGUGUAGCGGUGAAAUGCGCAGAUAUCAGGAAGAACACCCGUGGCGAAGGCGGCUCUCUGGGACGGUACUGACGCUGAGACGCGAAAGCGUGGGGAGCGAACAGG